UACGUAGGGGGCAAGCGUUGUCCGGAAUUAUUGGGCGUAAAGCGCGCGCAGGCGGUCCUUUAAGUCUGAUGUGAAAGCCCACGGCUUAACCGUGGAGGGUCAUUGGAAACUGGAGGACUUGAGUGCAGAAGAGGAGAGUGGAAUUCCACGUGUAGCGGUGAAAUGCGUAGAUAUGUGGAGGAACACCAGUGGCGAAGGCGACUCUCUGGUCUGUAACUGACGCUGAGGCGACGAAAGCGUGGGU
rnacentral:rRNA from 1 species